AAAUUGUAAACUUAGUAGAGGACUUGCGAUUUUGGAUGCGAAAAGCUGGAUUUGGCGACUAGUGCGAGCUAUUUUAAGAAGCAGUAGAAGGACAGAAGUCCACAAUGCCCGGUAGAGGGUAGAAGAAGCAAUGCCAAUGGGAAACUCAAACACAAAUUUCAAUACAAGAAAGCCCUAACCAGGCCCUAACCUAGCGAAACGAUGUUGAAAACAACCCCAAAAUAACUGUUCAAUUCUCAAUGGACGAAGCAACUUACCAUGAUGCAGUAAAUCUAGAUUGAAGACUCGUUUCGUGCAAUUGGCACAACAGGAAACCUCCGAAAAUUUUACUACGAGGAAAAUUGUAAAAGAAGAAACGUGGAUCAGUAUUGCUUAUACAGCCAGGUCAUCAUCUUGGUAGAGUGAGUCUUAGCUUAGUAGAACUCUAGUAGAACUGAACAACCAGUGUCUUAAUGACUAUACCA